rnacentral:rRNA from 1 species
AUGGCGCUUCGCUCUGCCCUGAGGAAGAUGCCUGCCCUCGGUAGGUCGCUCGGGAUGGCCCCCCGUAUGGGCCUCAUGCACGCGCUCUCGCUCUCGCCGCCGGCGUGUUCUCGCCUGAUGUCCCAUGUCCCACAGCCACAGGAAGAAGACCUGUUUUAUUCUGAUGAAGCGCGCGCCAAACGGCGCGAGCGAAUCAAACGCAAUGAAGCAAGUUUUGAGGAGAGCAUGAAGAAUGUGCAGAAAGAUUUGGAUUUUUUGAAAGAACUUCACAGUCGUGAAUGGCCUGAUCCUCGAGAAAAUUUCCUCAAGGAGCUUCGCAAAUUUGAGAAGAAAUGUGACAUUGCUCUUCUUGUACUAGUGCCUACAACUGCUGUGCUCUUUAUGAGUAUACCAUAUUACCUUUAG